AUUGAACGCUGGCGGCAGGCCUAACACAUGCAAGUCGAGCGAGCGGCGGACGGGUGAGUAAUGUCUGGGAAACUGCCUGAUGGAGGGGGAUAACUACUGGAAACGGUAGCUAAUACCGCAUACAAUAAGAGUUGCCCGGUUGGGAUUAGCUGUUGGUUGGGGUAAUGGCUCACCUAGGCGACGAUCCCUAGCUGGUCUGAGAGGAUGACCAGCCACACUGGAACUGAGACACGGUCCAGACUCCUACGGGAGGCAGCAGUGGGGAAUAUUGCACAAUGGGCGCAAGCCUGAUGCAGCCAUGCCGCGUGUGUGAAGAAGGCCUUCGGGUUGUAAAGCACUUUCAGCGGGGAGGCGUUACCCGCAGAAGAAGCACCGGCUAACUCCGUGCCAGCAGCCGCGGUAAUUC
rnacentral:rRNA from 1 species